AAAAUUAAGUUCUGCUGUGGCUUGUGAAAGCAGACAGCCAACAGCAGGGUGGAGGAGGCAUUGCUGUCCCUCAGAGAGAGCUCACAGGUGACUGCAAGCCUCAUAGGUGCCAGGGGAUCCAAGCAGGAGAAACCCUUGUGAAUGCUGCUGCUGCUGCAGGAAAAGCUGCUUUGGGAGCAUGCUGUCCCUCUAGCAGGCCUUGGGAGCCCCUGCUGCCUCAGGAGCUACUUGUAGCGUAACUAAGAAGUCUGUGUGCAGCUACAGUGUGUGCUCUGAGCCGGAGGAGAUUUAGUAAUGUCUUCAUCUACCAAGUCCCAAAUCCUGGCCCCAGCUUUCGGAAACUGACAGCUGAACCAGAGCAGUGCAGCUCACUUGCAUGAAGGAUUGCCGUGCUGCUGUGAAGGGCACAAGCUGGCACGGAGACACCCCGCGCCUCACCUGUUGACGUGGCCAGGAAAGGAAGGAGGACUCAUGAAGCCACAGGCAGACAAAGCAAGAGGGAGCAAAACUCUUUUGCCCAACAAUGAGGCAAUUUCCUGGGAUGGACCAGUUGUGGGAUCUGCUACUUCCCAGAAGUGCUUGAGCACUUUUGUAAUCGGCUCAUCACUCAUCAGAGGAACCUUCCAUGGGAUUUCCGAAGCCUGCCCCUGCAUUCACUGUACUUUGUUACCGGGAACACUGUACUUUUUUACAGGGAACAGCUGCCUCAGGGUUAUGACCUGUUGGCUGGCAAAAAUAGGUGCCAGGUGAGGUUCCUGCCAGGGCAUGACUGCCAGGCUGAAGAAAUGCCUCUGCCCUUGUGCAAGGAAGUGGCUCAUUUAUUUCCAUGACACUCUGUUCCUUUGUGUGCUCCAUGGAGCAGGUUUUGGCAAGCAGCGUUCACGCAAGUCUCUCUGUUUUAAGUGGAAAAGCUCCAAAGCUGAUAAAUUUCCUGUGUCAGAGAAAGGACAUCUCUGUUCUAGGCCAGGAUGCUAUCGUGAGCAUCCUGUUGCUCUUAGUGCUGCAGUUCUGUUACUACUGGAGUACGAUGCUCACUCCUUAGAAGAUCUGGAAGUUUUAAAAAUUGUUAAUUUCUUUAUGGAGUGAAAGGAACUGUCUGAAAUGCUGUUAUUUUUACAUUUAUAUUUUUCUUGUCAAUCCUAUUGUCUCUACUUGGACUCUAACGGGAUGUUUUAAUUUGA